rnacentral:rRNA from 1 species
AGAGUUUGAUCCUGGCUCAGGACGAACGCUGGCGGCACGCUUAACACAUGCAAGUCGAACGGAGAAUUUUGGAUUUAUUCAGAAUUCUUAGUGGCGGACGGGUGAGUAACACGUGAGCAACCUGCCUUUGAGAGAGGGAUAGCUUCGGGAAACUGAUGGUAAUACCUCAUGAUGUAUAUUUGCCGCAUGACAGAUAUACCAAAGAUUUAUCACUCAAAGAUGGGCUCGCGUCUGAUUAGCUAGAUGGUGAGGUAACGGCUCACCAUGGCGACGAUCAGUAGCCGGACUGAGAGGUUGAACGGCCACAUUGGGACUGAGACACGGCCCAAACUCCUACGGGAGGCAGCAGUGGGGAAUAUUGCACAAUGGGGGAAACCCUGAUGCAGCGACGCCGCGUGAGUGAAGAAGUAUUUCGGUAUGUAAAGCUCUAUCAGCAGGGAAGAAGAAAUGACGGUACCUGACUAAGAAGCCCCGGCUAACUACGUGCCAGCAGCCGCGGUAAUACGUAGGGGGCAAGCGUUAUCCGGAUUUACUGGGUGUAAAGGGAGCGUAGACGGUAAGGCAAGUCUGAAGUGAAAGGCUGGGGCUCAACCCCAGGACUGCUUUGGAAACUGUCAAACUAGAGUACAGGAGGGGUAAGUGGAAUUCCUAGUGUAGCGGUGAAAUGUGUAGAUAUUAGGAGGAACACCAGUGGCGAAGGCGGCUUACUGGACUGUAACUGACGUUGAGGCUCGAAAGCGUGGGGAGCAAACAGGAUUAGAUACCCUGGUAGUCCACGCCGUAAACGAUGAUUACUAGGUGUCGGGGAGUAAUGACUCUUCGGUGCCGCAGCAAACGCAAUAAGUAAUCCACCUGGGGAGUACGUUCGCAAGAAUGAAACUCAAAGGAAUUGACGGGGACCCGCACAAGCGGUGGAGCAUGUGGUUUAAUUCGAAGCAACGCGAAGAACCUUACCUGGUCUUGACAUCCCGAUGACCGGUCAGUAAUGUGACCUUUUCUUCGGAACAUUGGAGACAGGUGGUGCAUGGUUGUCGUCAGCUCGUGUCGUGAGAUGUUGGGUUAAGUCCUGCAACAAGCGCAACCCCUAUCUUUAGUAGCCAGCAAUUCGGAUGGGCACUCUAGAGAGACUGCCGGGGAUAACCCGGAGGAAGGUGGGGAUGACGUCAAAUCAUCAUGCCCCUUAUGACCAGGGCUACACACGUGCUACAAUGGCGUAAACAGAGGGAAGCGAAGUGGUGACAUGGAGCAAAUCCCAAAAAUAACGUCCCAGUUCGGAUUGUAGUCUGCAACUCGACUACAUGAAGCUGGAAUCGCUAGUAAUCGCGAAUCAGAAUGUCGCGGUGAAUACGUUCCCGGGUCUUGCACUCACCGCCCGUCA